CAGUCGCCGCGGUAAUACGUAGGUGGCAAGCGUUGUCCGGAAUUAUUGGGCGUAAAUGGCUCGCAGGCGGUUUCUUAAGUCUGAUGUGAAAGCCCCCGGCUCAACCGGGGAGGGUCAUUGGAAACUGGGAAACUUGAGUGCAGAAGAGGAGAGUGGAAUUCCACGUGUAGCGGUGAAAUGCGUAGAGAUGUGGAGGAACACCAGUGGCGAAGGCGACUCUCUGGUCUGUAACUGACGCUGAGGAGCGAAAGCGUGGGGAGCAAACAGGAUUAGAUACCCCCGUAGUCCUGUCUCUUAUACA
rnacentral:rRNA from 1 species